UACAGAGGGUGCGAGCGUUGUUCGGAAUUACUGGGCGUAAAGGGCGCGUAGGCGGUUAUGUAAGUUAGAUGUGAAAUCCCCGGGCUUAACCUGGGAAUGGCAUUUAAUACUGUAUGACUAGAGUAGAGUAGAGGGAAGUGGAAUUUCCGGUGUAGCGGUGAAAUGCGUAGAUAUCGGAAAGAACACCAGUGGCGAAGGCGGCUUCCUGGACUCAUACUGACGUUGAGGCGCGAAAGCGUGGGUAGCAAACAGG
rnacentral:rRNA from 1 species